rnacentral:rRNA from 2 species
AGUAGGGAAUAUUCCACAAUGAGCGAAAGCUUGAUGGAGCGACACAGCGUGCACGAUGAAGGCCCUCGGGUUGUAAAGUGCUGUUGCAAGGGAAGAAAAAGCAGUUGAGGAAAUGCAACUGAACUGACGGUACCUUGUUAGAAAGCGAUGGCUAACUAUGUGCCAGCAGCCGCGGUAAUACAUAGGUCGCAAGCGUUAUCCGGAAUUAUUGGGCGUAAAGCGUUCGUAGGCUGUUUAUUAAGUCUGGAGUCAAAUCCCAGGGCUCAACCCUGGCUCGCUUUGGAUACUGGUAAACUAGAGUUGGAUAGAGGUAAGCGGAAUUCCAUGUGAAGCGGUGAAAUGCGUAGAUAUAUGGAAGAACACCAAAGGCGAAGGCAGCUUACUGGGUCUAUACUGACGCUGAGGGACGAAAGCGUGGGGAGCAAACAGGAUUAGAUACCCUGGUAGUCCACGCCGUAAACGAUGAUCAUUAGUCGGUGGCCAAUCACUGACGCAGCUAACGCAUUAAAUGAUCCGCCUGAGUAGUAUGCUCGCAAGAGUAAAA